UUUUCUCGACGCCUACCCUCGG
rnacentral:miRNA from 1 species